UACGGGGGGCAAGGGCAGUUGUUCGGUGAAUUACUGGGCGUAAAGGGCGCGUAGGCGGCCAGCACAAGUCAGUUGUGAAAUCUCCGAGCUUAACUCGGAACGGUCAACUGAUACUGUGCGGCUAGAGUGCAGGAAGGGGCAACUGGAAUUCUUGGUGUAGCGGUGAAAUGCGUAGAUAUCAAGAGGAACACCUGCGGCGAAGGCGGGUUGCUGGGCUGACACUGACGCUGAUGCGCGAAAGCCAGGGGAGCGAACGGG
rnacentral:rRNA from 1 species